AGUGAACGUUGGCGGCGUGGAUUAGGCAUGCAAGUCGAGCGAGAACCGUAGCAAUACGGGGACAGCGGCGAAAGGGACAGUAAUGUGUAGGUACCUACCUCCGGGUUCGGGAUAGCUGCGGGAAACUGCAGGUAAUACCGAAUAACGUCUCCGGACCAAAGGUGUGAUUCCACCUGGAGAGGGGCCUGCAUCCUAUUAGCUAGUUGGGGAGGUAACGGCUCACCAAGGCGACGAUGGGUAGCGGGUGUGAGAGCACGACCCGCGUCAUUGGGACUGAGACACUGCCCAGACACCUACGGGUGGCUGCAGGCGAGGAUCUUCGGAAAUGGGCGCAAGCCUGUCCGAGCGACGCCGCGUGCGGGAUGAAGGCCGUCGGGUUGUAAACCGCUGUCGUAGAGGAGGAAAUGCAGGGGGGUUCUCCCCUCUGUUUGACCUAUUCUAGGAGGAAGGACGGGCUAAGUUCGUGCCAGCCGCCGCAGUAA
rnacentral:rRNA from 1 species